rnacentral:lncRNA from 1 species
CAAGAAAAAAACCCGAACCAAACAGAGAAUAUCCGAUCACAUUGGCAGAUCCCUACAACACUUAAAUCACAACUACUAAUCACCAUGUGCACAUCUGCAUUCCAUUUGGGUUAAAAAUCACUUAAAAGAGUAAGGAAACUACUUUCCUAUUUAAAUUAUCAAAUUUCAAUUGACACUACUUAAAUCUAUUAUAGAAUGACACAAAUCUAGCAAACUUAUCUAUGAAAGAAAAUAGAAUAGCAUAACAUUAUCAGCAAAAUUUGAAAUAAUAAAAAUAAUAUUAUAACGUAUUUAAGCUCCAAAAGCUCUAAUAAGCAACUUAAUCCAAUACGUUAGCUUUAAACGAGCAUACUAACAAAAAAUGAAUAAAUUUAAAGGGUUUUUUAAAUCGAUUUGCUCUUUUAUUACCUUUGAUUAAGGCUCUUAGCUUUUGCAUCAAUGAUUUGAACUCUGAACAACACUUUACUGACAACGUCGGAUGGCUACUCAAAAAAUUAAAAAUAUAUAAAUAAAGUUACUAUUUUGAGCAAAGAUAAUUUAUCAAUGCCACAAAUCAAAU